rnacentral:rRNA from 1 species
AUUGAACGCUGGCGGCAGGCUUAACACAUGCAAGUCGAGCGGGGGAAGGUAGCUUGCUACCGGACCUAGCGGCGGACGGGUGAGUAAUGCUUAGGAAUCUGCCUAUUAGUGGGGGACAACAUCUCGAAAGGGAUGCUAAUACCGCAUACGUCCUACGGGAGAAAGCAGGGGAUCUUCGGACCUUGCGCUAAUAGAUGAGCCUAAGUCGGAUUAGCUAGUUGGUGGAGUAAAGGCCUACCAAGGCGACGAUCUGUAGCGGGUCUGUGAGGAUGAUCCGCCACACUGGGACUGAGACACGGCCCAGACUCCUACGGGAGGCAGCAGUGGGGAAUAUUGGACAAUGGGGGGAACCCUGAUCCAGCCAUGCCGCGUGUGUGAAGAAGGCCUUAUGGUUGUAAAGCACUUUAAGCGAGGAGGAGGCUACUUUAGUUAAUACCUAGAGAUAGUGGACGUUACUCGCAGAAUAAGCACCGGCUAACUCUGUGCCAGCCGCCGCAGUAA